rnacentral:rRNA from 1 species
GAUUAACGCUGGCGGCGUGCAUAACACAUGCAAGUCGAACGAUGAAACUCAUUAGAUUUCUUCGGAAUGAAAAUGAAUGGAUUAGUGGCGAACGGGUGAGUAACGCGUGAGUAACCUGCCUUACACAAGGGGAUAGCCUCUGGAAAUGGAGAAUAAUACCCUAUGAAACCAGACAAUCGCAUGAUAAUCUGGUCAAAAUGUUUAGUGGUGUAAGAUGGACUUGCGUCUGAUUAGCUAGUUGGUGAGAUAAAAGCUCACCAAGGCAACGAUCAGUAGCCGGCUUGAGAGAGUGUACGGCCACAUUGGGACUGAGACACGGCCCAGACUCCUACGGGAGGCAGCAGUGGGGAAUUUUGCACAAUGGGGGAAACCCUGAUGCAGCGACGCCGCGUGAUUUAGAAGGCCUUCGGGUUGUAAAAAUCUUUUGUAUAGGAAGAAAAUGACAGUACUAUACGAAUAAGGUCCGGCUAAUUACGUG